rnacentral:rRNA from 1 species
ACGGGAGGCAGCAGUGGGGAAUCUUAGACAAUGGGGGAACCCGUGAUCUAGCCAUGCCGCGUGAGUGAAGAAGCCCCUAGGGUCGUAAAGCUCUUUCAGCUGUGAAGAUAAUGCCGGUACCAGCAGAAGAAACCCCGGCUAACUCCGUGCCAGCAGCCGCGGUAAUACGGAGGGGCUAAGCGUUGUUCGGAAUUACUGGGCGUAAAGCGCGCGUAGGCGGAUUAGUCAGUCAGAGGUGAAAUCCCAGGGCUCAACCCUGGAACUGCCUUUGAUACUGCUAGUCUUGAGUUCGAGAGAGGUGAGUGGAAUUCCGAGUGUAGAGGUGAAAUUUGUAGAUAUUCGGAGGAACACCAGUGGAGAAGGCGGCUCACUGGCUCGAUACUGACGUUGAGGUGCGAAACCGUGGGGACGCAACCAGGAUUAGAUACCCUGGUAGUCCACGCCGUAAACAGAUGAAUGCCAGACGUCGGUCAGUAUACUCUUCGGUGUCACAGCCUAACGCAUAAG